GACGAACGCUGGCGGCGUGCUUAACACAUGCGAGUCGAACGGAAAGGCCCUGCUUUUGUGGGGUGCUCGAGUGGCGAACGGGUGAGUAACACGUGAGUAACCUGCCCUUGACUUUGGGAUAACUUCAGGAAACUGGGGCUAAUACCGGAUAGGAGCUCCUGCUGCAUGGUGGGGGUUGGAAAGUUUCGGCGGUUGGGGAUGGACUCGCGGCUUAUCAGCUUGUUGGUGGGGUAGUGGCUUACCAAGGCUUUGACGGGUAGCCGGCCUGAGAGGGUGACCGGCCACAUUGGGACUGAGAUACGGCCCAGACUCCUACGGGAGGCAGCAGUGGGGAAUAUUGCACAAUGGGCGGAAGCCUGAUGCAGCAACGCCGCGUGCGGGAUGACGGCCUUCGGGUUGUAAACCGCUUUCGCCUGUGACGAAGCGUGAGUGACGGUAAUGGGUAAAGAAGCACCGGCUAACUACGAG
rnacentral:rRNA from 1 species